rnacentral:rRNA from 1 species
AUUGAACGCUGGCGGCAGGCCUAACACAUGCAAGUCGAACGGUAACAGGAAGCAGCUUGCUGCUUUGCUGACGAGUGGCGGACGGGUGAGUAAUGUCUGGGAAACUGCCUGAUGGAGGGGGAUAACUACUGGAAACGGUAGCUAAUACCGCAUAACGUCGCAAGACCAAAGAGGGGGACCUUCGGGCCUCUUGCCAUCGGAUGUGCCCAGAUGGGAUUAGCUUGUUGGUGGGGUAACGGCUCACCAAGGCGACGAUCCCUAGCUGGUCUGAGAGGAUGACCAGCCACACUGGAACUGAGACACGGUCCAGACUCCUACGGGAGGCAGCAGUGGGGAAUAUUGCACAAUGGGCGCAAGCCUGAUGCAGCCAUGCCGCGUGUAUGAAGAAGGCCUUCGGGUUGUAAAGUACUUUCAGCGGGGAGGAAGGGAGUAAAGUUAAUACCUUUGCUCAUUGACGUUACCCGCAGAAGAAGCACCGGCUAACUCCGUGCCAGCAGCCGCGGUAAUACGGAGGGUGCGAGCGUUAAUCGGAAUUACUGGGCGUAAAGCGCACGCAGGCGGUUUGUUAAGUCAGAUGUGAAAUCCCCGGGCUCAACCUGGGAACUGCAUCUGAUACUGGCAAGCUUGAGUCUCGUAGAGGGGGGUAGAAUUCCAGGUGUAGCGGUGAAAUGCGUAGAGAUCUGGAGGAAUACCGGUGGCGAAGGCGGCCCCCUGGACGAAGACUGACGCUCAGGUGCGAAAGCGUGGGGAGCAAACAGGAUUAGAUACCAUGGUAGUCCACGCCGUAAACGAUGUCGACUUGGAGGUUGUGCCCUUGAGGCGUGGCUUCCGGAGCUAACGCGUUAAGUCGACCGCCUGGGGAGUACGGCCGCAAGGUUAAAACUCAAAUGAAUUGACGGGGGCCCGCACAAGCGGUGGAGCAUGUGGUUUAAUUCGAUGCAACGCGAAGAACCUUACCUGGUCUUGACAUCCACAGAACUUUCCAGAGAUGGAUUGGUGCCUUCGGGAACUGUGAGACAGGUGCUGCAUGGCUGUCGUCAGCUCGUGUUGUGAAAUGUUGGGUUAAGUCCCGCAACGAGCGCAACCCUUAUCCUUUGUUGCCAGCGGUCCGGCCGGGAACUCAAAGGAGACUGCCAGUGAUAAACUGGAGGAAGGUGGGGAUGACGUCAAGUCAUCAUGGCCCUUACGACCAGGGCUACACACGUGCUACAAUGGCGCAUACAAAGAGAAGCGACCUCGCGAGAGCAAGCGGACCUCAUAAAGUGCGUCGUAGUCCGGAUUGGAGUCUGCAACUCGACUCCAUGAAGUCGGAAUCGCUAGUAUCCGUGGAUCAGAAUGCCACGGUGAAUACGUUCCCGGGCCU